rnacentral:rRNA from 1 species
ACUCAAAUGAAUAGACGGGGACCCGCACAAGCGGUGGAUGAUGUGGAUUAAUUCGAUGCAACGCGAAAAACCUUACCUACCCUUGACAUGUCUGGAAUCCUGCUGAGAGGCGGGAGUGCCUUCGGGAACCAGAACACAGGUGCUGCAUGGCUGUCGUCAGCUCGUGUCGUGAGAUGUUGGGUUAAGUCCCGCAACGAGCGCAACCCUUAUCAUUAGUUGCUACGCAAGGGCACUCUAAUGAGACUGCCGGUGACAAACCGGAGGAAGGUGGGGAUGACGUCAAGUCCUCAUGGCCCUUAUGGGUAGGGCUUCACACGUCAUACAAUGGUCGGUACAGAGGGUUGCCAAGCCGCGAGGCGGAGCCAAUCCCAGAAAGCCGAUCGUAGUCCGGAUCGCAGUCUGCAACUCGACUGCGUGAAGUCGGAAUCGCUAGUAAUCGCGGAUCAGCAUGUCGCGGUGAAUACGUUCCCGGGUCUUGCACACACCGCCCGU